rnacentral:rRNA from 1 species
AGCUACCUACGGGGCGCAGCAGUGGGGAAUAUUGGACAAUGGGGGGAACCCUGAUCCAGCGACGCCGCGUGAGCGAAGAAGUAUUUCGGUAUGUAAAGCUCUAUCAGCAGGGAAGAAAAUGACGGUACCUGACUAAGAAGCCCCGGCUAACUACGUGCCAGCAGCCGCGGUAAUACGUAGGGGGCAAGCGUUAUCCGGAUUUACUGGGUGUAAAGGGAGCGUAGACGGUG